rnacentral:ncRNA from 1 species
AAGAGCCGUAUGAGUUGAGAGGCUCACGUACGGUUCUGUGAGAGGCUGGGGGUGAAAUUCCCCCGGCCUACUCGAC